CUCAAAUUGAUGAGUCCCAAAUAGGACGAAACACGCUUCCUGGAC
rnacentral:hammerhead_ribozyme from 1 species